rnacentral:rRNA from 1 species
UACGAAGGGGGCUAGCGUUGCUCGGAAUUACUGGGCGUAAAGCGCACGUAGGCGGAUUGUUAAGUCGGGGGUGAAAUCCUGGAGCUCAACUCCGGAACUGCCUUUGAUACAGCACGUCUUGAGUCCGAUAGAGGUGGGUGGAAUUCCUAGUGUAGAGGUGAAAUUCGUAGAUAUUAGGAAGAACACCGGUGGCGAAGGCGGCCCACUGGAUCGGUACUGACGCUGAGACGCGAAAGCGUGGGGAGCGAACAGG